CAGUAGCCGCGGGAAUACGUAGGUGGCAAGCGUUGUCCGGAAUUAUUGGGCGUAAAGGGCUCGCAGGCGGUUUCUUAAGUCUGAUGUGAAAGCCCCCGGCUCAACCGGGGAGGGUCAUUGGAAACUGGGAAACUUGAGUGCAGAAGAGGAGAGUGGAAUUCCACGUGUAGCGGUGAAAUGCGUAGAGAUGUGGAGGAACACCAGUGGCGAAGGCGACUCUCUGGUCUGUAACUGACGCUGAGGAGCGAAAGCGGGGGGAGCGAACAGGAUUAGAUACCCCAGUAGUCCUGUCUCUUAUACA
rnacentral:rRNA from 1 species